GACGAACGCUGGCGGCGUGCUUAACACAUGCAAGUCGAACGGAAAGGCCUCUUUCGGGGGGUACUCGAGUGGCGAACGGGUGAGUAACACGUGAGUAACCUGCCCUUGACUUUGGGAUAACUUCAGGAAACUGGGGCUAAUACCGGAUAGGAGCUCCUGCUGCAUGGUGGGGGUUGGAAAGUUUCGGCGGUUGGGGAUGGACUCGCGGCUUAUCUGCUUGUUGGUGGGGUAGUGGCUUACCAAGGCUUUGACGGGUAGACGGCCUGAGAGGGUGACCGGCCACAUUGGGACUGAGAUACGGCCCAGACUCCUACGCGAGGCAGCAGUGGGGAAUAUUGCCCGAUGGGUGGAAGCCUGAUGCAGCAACGCCGUGUGCGGGAUGACGGCCUUCGGGUUGUAAACCGCUUUCGCUCAUGACGAAGCUUUGUGUGACGGUAGUGGGUAAAGAAGCACCGGCUAACUACGUG
rnacentral:rRNA from 1 species